UAAGAUUACAGGCAUGAGCCACUAUGCCCAGCUGGCAUUUAUUUUCUUAAAGAAAAAAAAAAUCUAAAUACUUGGGGGAAAUGGGAGUUGAGCAAAAGACUGACACUAACAGCAGAAUGAAUCAUUUUUAUAUCUUCUUUACCUUCUUUACUGGGAAAGGUGGCUGGCUCAGCAGGGAAGGAGUGUAUGAGGAGACUGUGUAAAAUGUGUCUUGUCGCGUUGUUGGUAAGCCGCUAAGCAAAUGUCUUUAACAUUAAUUUGAAAUUAGGUCUUGACAAAAUCUUGAGAAAUUAAAACAGGAAAAUAGAUAUUUGUACUCUAGGAUGAUAAUUAAAAUUGUAAUAUGAAGAGUAAAUUGAGGGGUCAUAUUGAAAGGGAAUAAUAGUAGAAGACAAAAAGAAAACAAGGAACCAAACAAAACUUCAGCUCCUCUAAUGGCAUGCACAGAACAUAGAAGUUUCUGAUGAAGGAACUGGCAAAAAAGACAGAAAAGGAACUGCUGGGGUAAAAUGGCAACAUGCUGGGAGAACACAGGUUUGCAGCUCUUGUGGGAGAAAUACUUUCAAGAAGAAAGAAGUAGUUAAUAAUGCAAAAUACUCAGGUGAGCACCAGGGAAUAAAGGAUGGAGAAAUAUUUUGAAUUUUUCAGGACAAUAUUUAGUGUGAGUAAAUUUAGAAGGCACAAAAACUGAACAGCUGAAAUGAUCUGUGAGAAGAUAGAUAUUGUCAUGGACUGAAGACCAAGGUUACAUGGAAAGAGAAAUGGACUGGAUAAUAGUUGAAAAGAUUAGACAGCAAACAUGUUUUUCUUUUAAGAAAAGAUAAGAAGAUUGAUUGAGGUCAAAGUGCAAUGAGUCAAGGAUAGUGACAACUGGAAGAACAGGAAGCAGUUUGGCGGUGGCGGAUAGGUGAGGCACAAGGACGUCAGCACUGGAUUCAGACAAACCGGCGUGUAUUGCGCGUGUACUUUGGGUGGCCCUGUGCUGCGUCAGCUGGAAGGGAUCCAGAGAAAAAGACAGAGCCCUCUUUGAAGACAUCCAGAGAGAGAUCUAGGAUGUUGGGAAGGAACAAAGAAAUUCAGGCAUCUCUCCUGAGAAGAGAAAGGGAGUAGAAUGCUCCAUCAUGAUGCUAACCACAAGAAUUGACUUGACGGGACAGAAUCAAGGGGAAGAACGUCAGUGAAACUUCUGGUGACAAUCACCCACUUAGCUGGCGUCAAAACAGGCCCUAUUCCUCAGUACCCGGUAUCAAGAGAAGACAACUUUCAGAAGCCCAUUGCCUAGACUUGGAGGAGGCUCUUAAUAUGUUUUUUUUCCACAUUUCAUAAAUUCUUAGGAUUUUUUAAAUUUAAUAUCCUUUAUGAACUAAGGUCAACAAAACUUUAAUCAGUGAAUAUAUUUUUGGUUCUGAGAGUUAGAACACUCCUCCCUUUUAAAACAAAAAAGUUUUUAGAAUUUUGUUGUUAAAUAUAUCUGGACAUAUGAAGAAAACUGAAGUUAUCAGCCUUUUCAAUUGAAUCCUGACACUGAAAUUGUCUUUUGAAACUUACUUUUGUGUAACUAUCCUGGCUCACUGGCACUCUGCUCUGGAAUUAAAUUUCCCUAAUUUCUGUCAACUUUUUGAAUCUGCAACAGUGGGAGCAUAUGAUAUGCUGUAUGAGUAACUGCACAAGUUAUUGUUAGAAAAAUUCCUACUGAUAAGCCCUAUGAGUUUUAUCUGUAACUGUGCAAGUAACCUAAGUAUCUUGUGGAAUUAGAGGCAAUAGUCUGUUUUACAAAGAGUAGGAGAGAGAGAGAAAGAGGUAGAGACAAAGACCAAGACCAGGAGAGGAAGAAGGAGAGAGACAGAAAGGGAGGCAGAGGGAAGAAAGGAAAGAAGAAAGAAAGAAAACAUUAGCAUAAUUUUCCAAGAAUAGGCAUCUCAGUGUCUUGCCUAGAAAUCAAGGUCUUCCUCUGCUCAGAAGCACAGAAACUGUCCAGGAGGGGAAGCUCUAAGUAACGAUAACAAUAGAAACUGAUUGGCUUGACAAUGAGAUAAGACCAGGUAUGUUCCCGGUGACCCACAGUGAAGGAAAAUUCAGUUUUUGCACAGUUUCACUGUGUGGAGAGAAUAUAGCACCAUUACAAAACUUCUUUUAAAGAAAAGACACUUUGGGAAUUGGCCUCAUCUGUUUUUUUGUAGGCAGUUCAGAUAGGAAUAAAGGAAAGAAGAAAACAUCUCCUUCCUUAUUCCCCAUCUGUUUAUCUCACUAUUUCUCAUCCUCCUUACAGACACUCAGCUGGAGGUUCACAGAUCCAGUUUCUUGUAGAUUGCUCCUCAAUGUUGUGGGUAAUUUUAGGCAAAAUAUGCAAAUUUCUUGUUUGGCAUAAGGUUUUUCUUUCUCCUGCUAAAACAAAAAUGUUUCCGCUACAAACCAUUUAAAUACUUCGUAGGGAUUUUGUCAGGAUUAAUGAGGCAACAGACAGUCACAGGUGAUUAUACUUAUUUCAAGAAUGCAUUAUUUUAGUAUGUCUAUUUGGCAUUACAUUGAUUUUUUUUCAGGUCAUUAGCUUAUUAAUUUCUACUAGACAGCAGAGCUGCUGUGUCUUGUUAUUUUUGGAGUUAAAAUGGUGUAAUAUUCUCAGAGAGCUAGACAUCAACUUAGUGAACUGGAACUGGAGAAUAAUUUAUUCUUUGCUACCAUAGAUGUUAAUUAUUUACCACAAGACAGAGCUGGGCAAGAAGAAAUCUCAGAACUUUAGUUUGGAUACAGACUUUGCUUUUUAUGGUCUGUUUCAAUCCCUUUAUUUUACAGAUAAGUAGAUUAAAACAAUUAUGAUUAAGUAUCUUCUCUUAUGUCACACAGUUGUUAUUGAUUGGUUUAUACUUAGGAGCUAGAGCAAGUGUUCCCAGGGAGUACAUUUUGUACUGAAUAUAGCUGUCUUUGUGAAGAGAAAAAUAACAAGAUUUGUAGGUACUGAAAGUUACCCAGAAAUCUCACAUUAGUCUAGGAAGAGGUAUGUAUUAUGAUGCUCAGGGUUACUGUGGCUUGAUAUAAUUAAACAGAUGUAUAUUCGUCUCCUAGAGUCUUCAAAAUAAUGAUAGUGGUGACGAUGACGAUGAUGAUAGUUAGCAGUUUUUAAAGGCUUACUCUGCAACAGGAAUUAUACCUAGAGGUUUAUACACAUUAUCUCAUUUAUUUCCUAAAAUGAUGCCAUGAGGUUGGAUCUAUUAUUUCUUCCAGUCUACAGAAGAAGAACCUGAAGCUUAGAGAUAUUUGGUAAAUUGUUGCAACUUCACUCUGUAAGUAAAUGUCAGAUCUGACCAAUAUGAUGCCACCCUAUGCCUUGUCACAGUAUUAUUCUGCUAUACGUUUGAGAAUCUGCCAAAUUUUCUUAGGCUCAUUAUCCACUACCACCAUAUUCUGACUUGUGGUGGAAUUAAUAAUAUUUCUAGAAGAAAUAUUUGCAAUAUUUAAGCAAAUUUUAGAAUUUUUAUACUAGAAAUAAGAUCUUGGACAUAAUGUAACUGUAUGUCUAGGUGGUGCUAAGUAACGAGACUUUCUGCACUGAGUUUUAGAAUGAAGAAUGGGAAGGAAAGCUCUUCCUAAAUAAAGCAGGAAACAUGGAUACCAGCUUACCAUUUGUAACCAGAGGUGUUUCUUAAUCUUUUUCAGAUCAGUUGUACAAAAGUUAAGACAGCAAUAAUGGUUUUUAUAGAAUGUUCUCAUGACGGUUAAAUAUUAAGAUGUAUGUGAAGUACAUAGCCCAGUACUAGAAAGAUCUGGCGUCUCUUCUGAUUAUUUAUUGCCUGUGCUGUACCAGUUAAUGUUUGGAAUAUCAGUACUGUAUUCAACAGAUAUCUAUUUGAUAUCUAGUAUGUGAUUGGGCCAGUAAUAGGCCCUAAGGGGACAGUACUAUUUUUAUCUUCAUGGUGCUCACUUUCUAGUUGAAGGAGGUAGAAAAAAUAAUUAUUGCGGGUAGUGAUAAGUGAAACAAAAAUAAUAAGACAGGAUUGGGGUAGAGUGACAUGAAUUGGGGAGAAGGAAGGAUUCCAUGAGAUCAGUUGUGAAAGGAGGCUUCUAAGAAAGCAACACUGGAGUUGAGAAGGGAAUAAGAAAGAGCCAACUACCUGGAGAUUGGUAGAAGGAUGAAAAGACAUGCACAAGAUUUGAAGAAGAGUUUAUGAAGAUGAAGGCUUCCAAUGAACUGAGAUUUCUACAUCAUGGGGAGGGUAAUAAAAAUGCUCUUUAAAAUAUGUUAAACAAGGUAUCUGUAUCUAUGUCUGCAUGAAAGUAGAGAGGAGACAGAAUAGCUGAUGCAACAGAUGACAGUGAAUAAUCGAGUAUCUACAGCUUCUACAAUGAUCAUCAACCAGGUUCUUUCUGCCCAACUGCAGCAAGUCAAUCACUGAGAUAAUGGAUUUUGCAAAAGAGAAGACUAUUCAUGAGGCAGCCAGUGAGGAGGUGAAGAACAGGUCUCAACUCCACCUCCCAGAAGAUAAGGCUUAGGGAUAUUUAUAGGUUAUAGAAGUGGGGUCAGCUAAGAUGUGGGAAAAGGUGAUUGUCAGUGGGGGAAAAAUGAAGCAAUCAGUGAUCUAUGCAAACAUAGUUGGGAUAUGUGGCAUUUCAUAGGACACAUUUGCAGAAAAUGAUGGUAUUAUGAUCUGAGGGUGGAAUUUUUGGUCCUCUGAUGUCAAAAUGCUCUCCGGCAUUUACAGAGGCCCAGCUGAAGAGUCAACCAGUUUGAACUGGUCAGGAGCUGUCCCACAUUCCUGAAAAAUAACUGAAGUGACCAUUACCAUGGUGAUUUAUAAAUGUUCAAUUUAUUAUGCCGCUAAUGAAGGUUAAGUUUCAGCGUUCAGUGGUGCAGCCUUCAAUUACUGUGGCUUUCAGCUUCAUGAAAAAAAAAAAAAAAAAAGAAAAGAAAAAGAUAAAAA
rnacentral:lncRNA from 1 species